rfam:Cucumis sativus cultivar 9930 chromosome 5, whole genome shotgun sequence.
UUAGGGUUAAGAGAGCUUUCUUCAGUCCACUCAUGGGUGGCGGUAGGGUUUAAUUAGCUGCCGACUCAUUCAUUCAAAUAUUGAGUCCAAAAAUUUCAAAUCUCAAAUGGAUUCACUAAACGAUUGAAUGAUGCGGGAGACAAAUUGAAUCUUAAGCUUCCUGUACUUGGACUGAAGGGAGCUCCCUUUUCUUUCUAU